rnacentral:rRNA from 1 species
GAUGAACGCUGGCGGCGUGCCUAAUACAUGCAAGUCGAGCGAACAGACGAGGAGCUUGCUCCUCUGACGUUAGCGGCGGACGGGUGGGUAACACGUGGAUAACCUACCUAUAAGACUGGGAUAACUUCGGGAAACCGGAGCUAAUACCGGAUAAUAUAUUGAACCGCAUGGUUCAAUAGUGAAAGACGGUUUUGCUGUCACUUAUAGAUGGAUCCGCGCCGCAUUAGCUAGUUGGUAAGGUAACGGCUUACCAAGGCAACGAUGCGUAGCCGACCUGAGAGGGUGAUCGGCCACACUGGAACUGAGACACGGUCCAGACUCCUACGGGAGGCAGCAGUAGGGAAUCUUCCGCAAUGGGCGAAAGCUUGACGGAGCAACGCCGCGUGAGUGAUGAAGGUCUUCGGAUCGUAAAACUCUGUUAUUAGGGAAGAACAAAUGUGUAAGUAACUAUGCACGUCUUGACGGUACCUAAUCAGAAAGCCAUGGCUAACUACGUG